AUUGAACGAUGGCGGCAGGCCUAACACAUGCAAGUCGCGCGAGCGGCGGACGGGUGAGUAAUGUAUGGGGAUCUGCCUGAUGGUGGGGGAUAACUACUGGAAACGGUAAAGAAUACCGCAUACCAUAAGAUGAACCCAAAUGGGAUUAGCUUGUAGGUGAGGUAACGGCUCACCUUGGAGACGAUCCCUAGCUGGUCUGAGAGGAUGACAAACCACACUGGGACGUGGAGACGGCCCAGACGCUUACGAGAGGCAGCAGUGUGGAAUAUUGCACAAUGGGCGCAAGCCUGAUGCAGCCAUGCCGCGUGUAGGAAGAAGGCCUUCGGGUUGAAAAGUACUUUCAGUCGGGAGGCGUUACCCGCAGAAGAAGCGCCGGCUAACUUCGUGCCAGCAGCCGCGGUAAUUC
rnacentral:rRNA from 1 species